CCUACGGGAGGCAGCAGUGAGGAAUAUUGGUCAAUGGGAGAAAUCCUGAACCAGCCAUGCCGCGUGCAGGACGAAGGCUCUACGAUUGGUAAACUCCUUUUGUAGGGGAGUAAAGUUCUCUACGUAAAGAGUUUUGAAUGUACGGUACGAAUAAAGGUCGGCUAACUCCGUGCCAGCAGCCGCGGUAAUACGGAGGAUCCGGGCGUUAUGCGGAUUCAUUGGGGUUAAAGGGUGCGUAGGUUGUUUGAUAAGUCAACGGUGAAAUCCCGAGGCUCAACCUCGGUGCUGCCGUUGAGACUGUAGGACUAGAGUGUGGAGGAGGUAGGAGGAAUGCGUGGUGUAGCGGUGAAAUGCAUAGAUAUCACGCAGAACACCGAUUGCGAAGGCAGCUUGCUAGGACGGAACUGACACUGAUGCACGAAAGCGUGGGGAGCGAACAGGAUUAGAUACCCGGGUAGUC
rnacentral:rRNA from 1 species